rnacentral:misc_RNA from 1 species
GCCGUGCUCUCCCAUAAUGGACAAGCCCCAUACCCAUAGCCGGCCCACGAAGACGAAUUUGGCGCCGAGCGCAAGUGCUUUGACGACAUCGCUGGCUCCUCGGAUGCCAGAGUCGUACAUGAUGUAGGUCUUGUCUCCGACCGCUUCGACAAUAUUCUCCAACGCAUCCAGACUCGCAAUCGCCCCAUCGACUUGCCGCCCAGCAUGA